rnacentral:tRNA from 4 species
GAGGUUGUAGCUCAGACUGGGAGAGCGCACGGCUGAAGACCGUGAUGUCGCGAGUUCAAAUCUCGCCAACCUCA